AAUAGUAUCGCUUCAGCUGGUGCUGUCUAGAAGUGUAGACGGCUGAAAAAGGGAAUCUGGUGCAAAACCAGAACUGACGCGCAGCGGUAAGAGAGAACGAAAGCUCAAAUGACACUGCAUAAGCGAUGUGGGAAGUCGAGUGACUAGGUGGCGAUGCCGAGCUCUUAAGUCCGAAUACCUGCCAGCAACCGAAUCGUUAAU
rnacentral:ncRNA from 1 species